UACCAGCACCCCGAGUGGUCGGGACGAUUAUUGGGCCUAAAGCAUCCGUAGCCGGUCCUACAAGUCUUCCGUUAAAUCCCCCUGCUUAACAGAUGGGCUGCGGAAGAUACUAUAGGGCUAGGAGGCGGGAGAGGCAAGCGGUACUCAGUGGGUAGGGGUAAAAUCCUCUGAUCCAUUGAAGACCACCAGUGGCGAAGGCGGCUUGCCAGAACGCGCUCGACGGUGAGGGAUGAAAGCUGGGGGAGCAAACCGG
rnacentral:rRNA from 1 species